rnacentral:rRNA from 1 species
UACAGAGGAGCCAAGCGUUGUCCGGAUUGACUGGGCGUAAAGCGCACGCAGGCGGCACCGCGCGUGGGGUGUGAAAUCUGGCCGCUUAACGGCCAGGCGCCAUCCCAUACGGCGGAGCUGGAGUGAUGCAGAGGUCGAUGGAAUUGCCGGUGUAGUAGUGAAAUGCGUAGAGAUCAACAGGAACACCCAAAGGGAAACCAGUCGACUGGGCAUCUACUGACGCUGAGGUGCGAGAGCGUGGGGAGCGAACCGG